rnacentral:lncRNA from 1 species
UCUUCGUUGUAAAUUGCGGCCAAACACUUCUGAAUUUUAAACCUGCUACCGACCACUCUUGUCUAACUGCGUCACUUUUACCACGUUCCUUUUUUGGUGCCCCCCACACACCCUCCAAGUCACUGUGACUUCAGUGUGGCUGCCUUCUGAAAGGCUGAAAAUAGAAAACUCUGGAAUGGAGAGGCUAGCUGCUGGAGUAGGAUUCGGAGGCUUUAAAUUUUAACCCGUGUUCGAUCGAAAGUUACUACCACAAGAGACUGGCACGGGCCGGCCCAAUUCCCACCACAGGUUCCAGCAGCUUGUUUUGGGUGGUUCGCUUGUUAUCUGGGCCACCCAAUGACCGACGAAAGAUCUUCCCUCCCUAAGUCUCCCAUCGCUGCUUUAAACCAAAUAAAUUUAGCUAUUAAGGGACAAGACGUCUGACAAAAGAUCGAAAGGUGUCUCUCUGGGAUCGCUUAAAGAAGCGAAGCCACUGGCGGCUCUCGAAUCCCGAUAAAGAAAUUCCAAGCCGGCGCCGGCCUCCCUCUCCAGCCUGCUUGCAUCCGACACCCUGAGAUCAGAACCUCAAAGGUCCAUUGGGACCUGUGGCUGCAAUUAAGACAAUAUCUAGGGUCCCGGGCUU